rnacentral:rRNA from 1 species
ACGCUGGCGGCAGGCCUAACACAUGCAAGUCGAGCGCGCCUUCGGGUGAGCGGCGGACGGGUUAGUAACGCGUGGGAACGUACCCUUUUCUACGGAAUAGCCUUUGGAAACGAAGAGUAAUACCGUAUACGCCCUUUGGGGGAAAGAUUUAUCGGAGAAGGAUCGGCCCGCGUUAGAUUAGAUAGUUGGUGGGGUAACGGCCUACCAAGUCUACGAUCUAUAGCUGGUUUUAGAGGAUGAUCAGCAACACUGGGACUGAGACACGGCCCAGACUCCUACGGGAGGCAGCAGUGGGGAAUCUUAGACAAUGGGCGCAAGCCUGAUCUAGCCAUGCCGCGUGAGUGAUGAAGGCCUUAGGGUCGUAAAGCUCUUUCGCCUGUGAUGAUAAUGACAGUAGCAGGUAAAGAAACCCCGGCUAACUCCGUGCCAGCAGCCGCGGUAAUACGGAGGGGGUUAGCGUUGUUCGGAAUUACUGGGCGUAAAGCGCACGUAGGCGGAUUGGAAAGUUGGGGGUGAAAUCCCGGGGCUCAACCCCGGAACUGCCUCCAAAACUAUCAGUCUAGAGUUCGAGAGAGGUGAGUGGAAUUCCAAGUGUAGAGGUGAAAUUCGUAGAUAUUUGGAGGAACACCAGUGGCGAAGGCGGCUCACUGGCUCGAUACUGACGCUGAGGUGCGAAAGUGUGGGGAGCAAACAGGAUUAGAUACCCUGGUAGUCCACACCGUAAACGAUGAAUGCCAGUCGUCGGGCAGUAUACUGUUCGGUGACACACCUAACGGAUUAAGCAUUCCGCCUGGGGAGUACGGU